rnacentral:misc_RNA from 1 species
UUAAAUAAAAAUCGGUGUUGUCGCUGUCUUUCGUGGUGACGCGUCGGAAUUGAGUCUUCUUAUCUUUGGUUAAGUGACUUAAAAUUUUAUAUAAUUUUCGAACGUAUUUAAAUUGCUUACGUACGUUUGAGAUAUCGAAUAUUUUAUUAGGUUCGGUCAUCCUUAUGACUCGCGCCUAUAAUUUUUUCAUU